ACCUUUUUUCGGUUUUUGUUAGUGUUUAUCCAAUUUUAUGUUAUGUUUUAAUUCUAGUUAGUGUUUAAUUUUCCAUGUAAUUUUUAUUUUUGGAACUUUUUGGAGUUAUUUUAUCAUUCUUAUUUGUCUUGAUGAUAUGUUAAUUCAAGAGGUUGCAAUUUAUUUUAUUGAGUUGCAAAAUUUAAAUGAUGUUUAAUUAGAGAUUAAUAAGCUAAUGAAGAAAAUUAACAAAGAAUAAUGCUCAAAUUCCUUCCAUAUAAUAAUUCAAUAUAUCUAUCCAUU
rnacentral:lncRNA from 1 species